AUGGAGCGCCUGCCGGCGGAACUCGUCUCGGCGGCGUUCGCCGGCACCACGCCACGUGACGCCGGCCGUGCCGCCAUGGUCUCCACAGCAUUCCGUGCUGCAGCCGACUCCGACGCCGUUUGGGCCCGCUUCCUGCCGCCCCUCGAGCUGGUGACCCCCGAGCCGCAGUCAAAAAAGGACAUGUUCUUACGCCUCUUGGACGGCCCCGUCCUCCUCCGAGACAGGCUCAUGGACAUGACUAUGUGGCUGGACAGGGAGACCUUCGCCAAAUGCUACAUGCUGUCCGCGCGGAAGCUGUUCAUCGCGUCGAGCCACAUGCCGCAGCACUGGAGCUGGAUCCCUCUCUCCGACUCCAUGUUCGCGCUCGUUAUCAGUUUGAUAGUCUUGAAAAGAAUAAUUGCCUGGUUCUCUGAAGGGGCUCAACUAAACAGUGUGACAUGGUUGGAAAUCAGUGGAAGCAUACACACCGACAUGCUCACCCCAGACUCCAAGUACGGGGCUUACCUCGUGUUUAAGAGGACCCAAAAUUUCAGUGGGUUCAAUUAUCCAAUCCAGAAGGCCACGCUCUACUUUGGACAAAUAAUGGAAUAUACCAGUCCGGUUCUCCUUGGUGAGAAUUGGACGCCGCCGCCAGAACUGGGUGUAGCUCAGCCUCAGCGCAGAGCCGACGGUUGGAUGGAGAUAUCGCUGGGUCACUUCCACACGAGCGGGAAUCCAUUCUAUGCUGUGAUGUCCUUCAGCCUGAUGGAGACGGAAGGAGAAGUGACACAGAAGCGUGGUCUCAUCGUGCAUGGCAUUGAGAUCAGACGUGAGAAAUCAGGAUGA
rnacentral:rRNA from 1 species